GUGAAUCAUCAAAUUUUUGAACGCAAAUUGCACUCUCUGGUAUUCCGGGGAGUAUGCCUGUUUGAGGGUCAUUUUAAAUAAAAAUCGGUGUGGGGUCUGCCUUUCGUGGUGACGCACCGGAUUUGGGUCGUCUUGCCUGCGGUUAAUGUACCUAAAAUGUUGCAGGAUUUUUUUGGAACGGAGUGAAAUGAUUGUACGGACGUUUGCGAAA
rnacentral:misc_RNA from 1 species